rnacentral:rRNA from 1 species
UACGAAGGGGGCUAGCGUUGUUCGGAUUUACUGGGCGUAAAGGGCGCGUAGGCGGAUUUUUAAGUCAGGGGUGGAAUCCUGGAGCUCAACUCCAGAACUGCCUUCGAUACUGAAAGACUUGAGUCCGGGAGAGGUGAGUGGAACUGCGAGUGUAGAGGUGAAAUUCGUAGAUAUUCGCAAGAACACCAGUGGCGAAGGCGGCUCACUGGCCCGGUACUGACGCUGAGGUGCGAAAGCGUGGGGAGCAAACAGG